rnacentral:rRNA from 1 species
GCGUGGACGCCAGUCUGCGUGGAGCCGACCUUGAAAUACCACCCUUUAAUGUUUGAUGUUCUAACGUGGACCCGUAAUCCGGGUUGCGGACAGUGUCUGGUGGGUAGUUUGACUGGGGCGGUCUCCUCCUAAAGAGUAACGGAGGAGCACGAAGGUUGGCUAAUCCUGGUCGGACAUCAGGAGGUUAGUGCAAUGGCAUAAGCCAGCUUGACUGCGAGCGUGACGGCGCGAGCAGGUGCGAAAGCAGGUCAUAGUGAUCCGGUGGUUCUGAAUGGAAGGGCCAUCGCUCAACGGAUAAAAGGUACUCCGGGGAUAACAGGCUGAUACCGCCCAAGAGUUCAUAUCGACGGCGGUGUUUGGCACCUCGAUGUCGGCUCAUCACAUCCUGGGGCUGAAGUAGGUCCCAAGGGUAUGGCUGUUCGCCAUUUAAAGUGGUACGCGAGCUGGGUUUAGAACGUCGUGAGACAGUUCGGUCCCUAUCUGCCGUGGGCGCUGGAGAACUGAGGGGGGCUGCUCCUAGUACGAGAGGACCGGAGUGGACGCAUCACUGGUGUUCGGGUUGUCAUGCCAAUGGCACUGCCCGGUAGCUAAAUGCGGAAGAGAUAAGUGCUGAAAGCAUCUAAGCACGAAACUUGCCCCGA